ACACGCAUGACACACUGCAUAUCAAUAAGCGGAGGAAAAGAAACUAACAAGGAUUCCCUUAGUAACGGCGAGUGAAGCGGGAAGAGCUCAAAUUUGAAAUCUUCAAGGUUUUACCUUGACGAAUUGUAGUUUAAAGAAGUGUUUUCUGUUGGAGUUUUGGUAAAAGUUCUUUGGAAUAGGACAUCAUAGAGGGUGAGAAUCCCGUAUUUGGUCAUUCUUUCUAGCUUUGUGAUACACUUUCAACGAGUCGGAUUGUUUGGGAAUGCAGUCCAAAAUGGGUGGUAAAUUUCAUCUAAAGCUAAAUAUUGGCGAGAGACCGAUAGCGAACAAGUACCGUGAGGGAAAGAUGAAAAGAACUUUGAAAAGAGAGUUAAACAGUACGUGAAAUUGUCAAAAGGGAAGCGUUUGACACCAGUGUUGUUUUUCCGAAAAUCAAUUACGAAUGUUUUGUUUUUGAGAAGUUAUGACUUCAUCGGCUUGCUUCUCUCUUUAUGAAACUUUCUUAAUGCACUUUUCGGUUAACAAGUCAACAUCAAUUUCUUUUGUUGUAAAAGGGUCAUUGAGGAAGGUGGCUUUCCUUUUCGGAGAAAGUGUUUAUAGCCUUUGAUCUCUGCAACCGGAGAGACUGAGGUCUGCAGCGUAGACUCUUCGGGGUUAAAUACAUUUGUGCUAAGCUAUAGCUUUUUAUAGACAACUUGUUGACUAUAUUUAGUCUUGUGGCUUACUCGCUUAUGCUAUUUUACCUACGCUUAGGAUGUUGAGCGCAUGUCUCUCUCU
rnacentral:rRNA from 1 species